UAAACUAGUUCUCAACUUAACAUCUUAUUAUAAAAUAAAAUAGCCAAUAAAAUAAAUGUAGGUAGGCAAGUAAGUCUAAAAAAAGGAUAUUUUAUAUUAUUGGAAAAAUCCAGAGCUGGCACGCUUUUCCAUAAGCCUUAUGACUGUACUACUCCCGAAUUAGUCAUAAAUAAUUCAACCUAAAUCGCGCGUUUCAUUCCCUUUUCAAAGCAAUCGCCAACAACCUCAGCUAAUUUUAUUGGAAUCUUCAAAGACGCCUUCAUAAACCUCAUCAAGGAAAAACUAUAAUCAUAAAGUUAUAUGGAUAGCAAGUCACCGAGCAAGAAGGAGUCUACUGAGGUGGCAGCACGCGAGUCGCUUAUCGCUAUUUCAAACACCUCACCAGAUAAAGUUCAGGAUUCUGUGUCCGAUAGCAAGAAACCAGAUGGGGCUGUGUUGCCAAAUGGUGAUCAGGAUGAACAGUUUAGGUCUGAACUGAUUUCAAUUUCGUAUGCCGAAUCACCUGAUGUCAAGAUCGAAACAAUUGCAACAGGAGUCUAGGCUACACAACUAAAACUUGUUAGUAAUUCAUGUCUUGUGAAUGAACUUCGUCUCUAUCAGUGUUGUAACUAAAUUAGUUGUUGUGUACUUUAUCCUCUAUCCUGCAACUAGAUGUAAAUACUUUCGUCGGCCACAUGCUUUGGUCGAAUGUUGGAAUGACUUUGAUAACUGUGUUGUCUAAGUACUGUGUUAGUUCAUGUGUGAUUCUGAAAAUAAGUAUUCAUCUUGUACUACUGUUAUGUUUUCAUAUAUUAAAUAGCAUUCAAGUCUUGGCCUCA